UACAGAGGGGGCAAGCGUUAUUCGGAAUUAUUGGGCGUAAAGAGCGUGUAGGCGGCUAGAUAGGUCCGUUGUGAAAACUCGAGGCUCAACCUCGAGACGCCGGUGGAAACCAUCUAGCUAGAGUCCGGAAGAGGAGAGUGGAAUUCCUGGUGUAGCGGUGAAAUGCGCAGAUAUCAGGAAGAACACCCGUGGCGAAGGCGGCUCUCUGGUACGUGACUGACGCUGAGACGCGAAAGCGUGGGGAGCGAACAGG
rnacentral:rRNA from 1 species